rnacentral:lncRNA from 10 species
UAUUUUUAGUAGAGACAGGGUUUCACUGUAUUAGCUAGGGUGGUCUCGAUCUCCUGACCUCGUGAUCCGCCUGCCUCGACCUCCCAAAGUGUGUAAGCAUUAUUCUACCACACUUGGCUUUCAUGUUUUACUUCUGCCCUUGGGAAUUUGCUUGUGAUUCAGAACCUGUGACUUCUUCCGCUUUCUUUUUCAUCUGCCGUUUUCUUAGCCUCACAUUUCCAUAUCUCCUAGGAUUAGUAAUUAUCUUAAAAUAAAUUUUGUGUAAAAAAGAAGCACGGUUUCAUUGUUUCAAAAUGGGAAUUGUCAGCUCCAGAAAUACCUCAAAUGUCCAUCAAGGUCUAUCACAUUAUGAUUUAUUAGUCAGGCUGGGGACGGGGGUAUGCAAGGCACAGAUACCUUCACGGGCCAGCUUAAUCAAUAAAAAACAUGUGUCAUCUUAUACAUACAUGUGCCUGAUGGCUCCACCAGAGCCAUGUAGAUUAGAGGGAAGGCCUUUUCUUAGUGGGAAGAGGAUGGGGACCUAAACACCACAUGGCCCUCCUUUUCCUCUCAUCCCAAGUUAGUGCAUAGGCAGAGUUCAUAGCAGUAAGCUCUGGAGUCAGAAUGCCAACAUCACAUACCUGUUCCAAGUAUAAUAACUCCACCUUCAUAAGCUACUUUUUGUCCACGUGUAAGAUCUACACCCAAUAGACUCUAUGGCAUUCUGAUACCAUGAGGAUUAAAAGCGACAAUAGCUGUUGAUCAAAUGAUACAAAAUGUCAAUUAGACAGGAGGAAUAUUAAGGAACAUGGUAACUACUGUUAGUAAUGAUAUUGUAUACUUGAAAAUUGCUAAGAGAGUAGAUUUUAAAUGUUCUUACCUGCAAAAAAUAAGUAUGUGAAGUAAUGCAUAUGUCAAUUAGGUUAAUCUAGCCUUUCCACAAUGUGUAGCUGUUUCAAAACAUGUUGUACAUCAUAAAUGCAUACAAUUUUUAUUUGUCAAUUUAAAAAAUAAUUUUUUUUAGAGAAAGACACAAUAGAUAGAAACUGAGUAGCACAGGCUCUAAAAUGGAGUGCCUGUUCAGUUAAUGUUAACUCUUAUUAAUCAAUGCAUCAUUGAUGAUAUGACAUCCUUGAGACAUAGACUAGCUAUUAGGAUCACUCUUAUGAGGUAUACAUUCUUUCAGAUACUCACUCCAAGUUCUGAAUUGUUUAUAAUUACUCAUGAGAAAAUGGAGCCAGAGGUUACUUGUCCUGGCAAAGAUGAAGACAGAGGAAGAAUGUGGGCUUUCUGCUUCCCAUGGCACGACCCUACUUACUAGCCCCCAAAUCCGCCUCUCAUGUUAUGUGUGAUCUUGGUUAAAUGUCUCCUCCCAUGCUGGUCAGUGGACUUUUUCUCUAAAAAAAAAAAACAUUAUUUAGUACCUUCAAUCACAAAAGCUCAUUUCUUUGUUUGUCUGAAAUAUGCUUACUUUAGAUUUCAAGGUAAUUUUCUAUGGCCCUCACAGACCAAAUCGGUGUCCACAACACUUAGCAUCUUAUUCUGUUUUGCAAACUGACAGA